AUUCAGGGCCGUGGGCUCAGCAGGUUACUGGGGCGAUUCAGGGCAGAGAGCCAGGGCAGGGCAAGCCUGCGGCUGAGAGAGCCUGCUGAGCGGGGCCCUUUGCCCCGGGGGCCCUGGCUCUGAGUUCGGGCUCCACCUCCCAGCCCCUUCCACCACCCACGUGGCUGGCUGAGCGCCCAUCCACCUGCCCUGUGCCGCGGGCGGGGGGCUUUCAGGAGGCCCGGCUGUGCCCCAACAAUGCUGCUUUGUGCCAAGAGGGACCCAGAGCCUUGUAAAGGAGGAGCCCCUGCCACCAUCUCCCCAGUUUUGGAGGCACUUCGGGGGAGCAGGAGUUCCCAGGAUUCUUGAGGGCUGUCUGCAGCCCCUGCUUCCUGUGAAUGCAGGAGAAUGAGCCGGCCAAGAGACCCAGGGAAUUGCUCAGAAGUCAGUCUGGCCUGUUUUAAAUCUUCGGGUCUGCUGCUUCCCAACUGUGUGACCUUGGGGGUGUGGCUUUACCUCUCUGAGUCUCAUUUCAUGGACUGGAAAAUGGAGUUGAUAACAGCACCUAUCCCACAGGAUGUAGCAGACUGGGUGAGGGACAGGGUAUGUCUGGUGCCCCCUGGCAUCGGUGGGUGGGGGAAAGGCUCCCUGGAGGGGGGCCUCCCUCCUUUCCUCCUCCCCCCUCCCCUCGCUCCCCCUCCCGCAGCCCCUGCCCCACCGUGGCUGGCGAAGGCAGCACAGGGCCGCCCUCCCAGAGCCCUGGCAGGUGGGCAAGGCCUUGGACUCUUACGUUUUCGUGUGAAUGUCUUCAGCGUGGACUUAAACAAUUCGGAUAACCCUGCGGAUGAGUUUUGGAAAUGAGUCUGGCAGCAGAAGAGGCAAAGGCAGCGAGCCGCCGGCCCAGGGACCCGUUUCCCGGAGGAAACAAGGCAGCGUGGGGAUGAUUUUCUUCCUUAUUUACGGAGCAAACCUCCGCGCCCAGGAAGCCCUGCACAGCGGUGGCCCUGGUGCAAGGGGAGAACGGAGGCCCUGAGCGCCUGCCGGCUCCCCUGGGGACCGUGGAGGGUCUGGGGGCCGUGGGCCCUCCUGCUCCCCUGUCCUCUGGCCUCAGCAUCAGGGCGUCACCCGCACCGUGGCGCUGCCUUCCUGCCAGUGGGUCCGUUGCGUCCUGGGGGGCCUAUGGCCGGACCCCUUCAGGCCCCCGAUGGCACGCAGCAGGGGCCAGGACACUGGGGGCCUCACCCCUUGCCUCCCCCAUGGGACUGUGUGUGGGGCCCUGACAGCCCCACCCGGAGACGUGAGGCUGCCCUGCGCCAGGUGUGUCUCCCACAGGUGCUGCCAGGCCCCCAGGGUCUGCAUAGGUGUACACAGGGUUCCACGGCCAACCCCCGUGGGGCCUGCCCCGUGCCGGACGCUGUUCUAGACGUUUCCAUGUGUAUUAGCUCACUCACUCCUCGGAGAGUCGAACAGAUGGGACCCCGAUGACCCCGUUUUAUAGGCGAGGAGCCGAGGUGUGGAAGCGAGGCCCCAAGGGAGGGACAGGAGCCCCGGGGCCCUGAGCCGGGAGGCGGAGCCCCCUGCAGCAUCUCUGGCCCGUGUGCUCUCCUGCGUCCAAGGUCUUUCCUGUCCGUGAUCACUCACCUGCUGCAGUGGGUUGGAUGGGGACCCCCAGGGUGGGGCCACGUCCUGAGCCCCGGCGCCUUAAAUGUGGCCUCAUUUGAAUAGAGGGUCCUGGUUACAGAUCCCAAGACGAGAUCGUGCCCCUCACCUGGUGCCCCUAAAUCCAAGGACAGAUGUCCCAUCGGAGACACACGGCGGGAAGGUGGAGGAGGCCACGUGAUGGCGGAGCAGAGGCUGGGGCCACGGGGCCACACGCCCCAGAAACCUGGACACCCCGGAGCCGGAGGGUCCGCCCCUAGAGCUUCUAGAAGGGGCGUGACGCCUGGAUUUGGGGCUUUCGUUCCCAGAAAUGUGAGAAAAUAAUUUGUCGUUAUAAGCCAACACCUUGUCGUAUGUGACGGCAGCUGGGGACCCUCGUACACCCUGUACGGGGCUCUGUGGUGCCCCCCCCCACCCUUGCAGAGCGGAGAGGUGACGUUACUUUGGUGGAGACAUUUUUGUGAGUGGCCCCCAGCUGCUCCCAGGGGAAAGGCUGCCGCGGAGAAGCCUGCGUGGGUCAGAGAGGGUGACCCCUGUCCCCGGCCACACCCACCCACCGUCCCAGCCGCUGGGGCUGUGCGCGGCCUUAGCUCAGAAACGGAGCAUGUCUUGCAGGCGCCAAGGCUGGUGCCCUGUGCAGGUGGGCCCCUGAGGGAGAGCUGAGUGUCCCCUCCAUCACUGCCUGUGAGCAUGGACCUGCUGUGUGCCCAGCUUGAGAGGCACCCAGGGGCUUCGGGCCCACGCCUAGUCCAGAGCGGGUGCCCAGGGGACAGAGCCCACUCAGGGACCAGCCCCAUAACACCAGGAAGCACAGGCCGAGGAGGCCUCCCACCCAGAUUCUGGGACCUUCUGGCUCCCAGGGGGCCUGUGGGAAUCCUGUCCCUCCUCUGAGGAGCCCAGCUGCCCCCGAUGCCCGGUGGGGCCCCUUCCCCCGCCUCAGGGCCUGCGUGGUCCUUGGGGAGCUCGCAGAGGCUGGGGUUUCCAUGGCCACCAGCCUCUCCUCUGCCCAGGAUCUGCUUAUUCCUUAUUCAGCACCCAGUGGCCCCCACUGGGAGGCUCCGUUUCCUGCCACACUGAGGUGGUGGGGGAGGUCACGGGGCACCGGGUCCCCUUCCAGCUGAGCUCCCACUGGCAAAAUGCGAGCAGGAGGCACGGGGAAGGCUCCGGUCCUCCCCACUGGUGGGACUUGAGGCUGGAGUUGGCAGCUGGGAUAUUGGGGUGAAUGAGGACCACGACGGCAGCCCCACGCCCAGGUGGACACUGGGGGACCUGAGGCUUGCAGAGGGCUGUGUCUGGGGUCGCACGUGGGGUCUGGCCGGCCCGCCCAGCGUCUGCUCGGCAUCUGUGGCUGGGUGCCCCAGUGCAGGGGGCGCUGGGGCGAAGCUUCCCGACCUUCCCAGCGCUGCGCGGCAUUGCUCUGCAUCUGGGGCUCCCGUCGGGGUCUGGCCUCAGCUGUGGCCCCUUCUCCAGCCCCCCUGCUGCCCCAACAGUCCCGUCACGUGUUGGAGCCUGCUUCAGGGCGAGCUGACACUUUGCGAGAAGAAUUAAGACGAAUGUUGGCGAAACGCUUGGCCGUGGAAACGGCCAUCUUCCCGCAAGUGCUGCCGUGCGGGGCCCGGGGGAGUGCAAUCGGCCUGCGGGAGGCCGUGUCCCCCAGCGAGCUCUGGGCCCUGCGGAGAGCCAGGCCCUCCCCUGGAUCAGGCACAGGCCUGAGCCCGUCGGGCCUGCACACCGUUGGGGAUGGAGAGGAAGAGGCCGGAACAGAGACCGCAGCCAGGAGCAGGGCAACGGCUGUCCUCGCCAUCUGUCCCUCGCGCGCUUUCGUAAUAAAUUCAU